rnacentral:rRNA from 1 species
UGGGGAAUUUUGGACAAUGGGCGCAAGCCUGAUCCAGCCAUGCCGCGUGCGGGAAGAAGGCCUUCGGGUUGUAAACCGCUUUUGUCAGGGAAGAAAUCUUCUGAGUUAAUACCUCGGGAGGAUGACGGUACCUGAAGAAUAAGCACCGGCUAACUACGUGCCGGCAGCCGCGGUAAUACGUAGGGUGCAAGCGUUAAUCGGAAUUACUGGGCGUAAAGCGUGCGCAGGCGGUUUUGUAAGACAGAGGUGAAAUCCCCGGGCUCAACCUGGGAACUGCCUUUGUGACUGCAAGGCUUGAGUGCGGCAGAGGGGGAUGGAAUUCCGCGUGUAGCAGUGAAAUGCGUAGAUAUGCGGAGGAACACCGAUGGCGAAGGCAAUCCCCUGGGCCUGCACUGACGCUCAUGCACGAAAGCGUGGGGAGCAAACAGGAUUAGAUACCCUGGUAGUCCACGCCCUAAACGAUGUCAACUGGUUGUUGGGAAGGUUCCUUCUCAGUAACGUAGCUAACGCGUGAAGUUGACCGCCUGGGGAGUACGGCCGCAAGGUUGAAAC